GGUCAGGAUGAACGCUGGCGGCGUGCCUAACACAUGCAAGUCGAACGAAGCAUACGGACCGGAGAUUCGUCGAAGGACCGUAUGACUUAGUGGCGGACGGGUGAGUAAUGUAUGAGCAACCUGCCUUUCAGAGGGGGACAACAGUUGGAAACGACUGCUAAUACCGCGUAACGUAUCGUGAGGGCAUCCUCGUGAUACCAAAGGAGCAAUCCGCUGAAAGAUGGGCUCAUAUCUGAUUAGCUUGUUGGCGGGGUAACGGCCCACCAAGGCGACGAUCAGUAGCCGGACUGAGAGGUUGAACGGCCACAUUGGGACUGAGAUACGGCCCAGACUCCUACGGGAGGCAGCAGUGGGGAAUAUUGGGCAAUGGGCGAAAGCCUCGACCCAGCAACGCCGCGUGAAGGAAGAAGGUCUUCGGAUUGUAAACUUCUUUUAUGAGGGACGAAGGACGUGACGGUACCUCAUGAAUAAGCCACGGCUAACUACGUGCCAGCCGCCGC
rnacentral:rRNA from 1 species